AUUGAACGCUGGCGGCAUGCCUUACACAUGCAAGUCGAACGGUAACGCGGGGGCAACCCUGGCGACGAGUGGCGAACGGGUGAGUAAUACAUCGGAACGUACCCAGUAGUGGGGGAGUAGCUCGGCGAAGCCGGAUUAAUACCGCAUACGACCUAUGGGUGGAAAGCGGGGGAGUCGCAAGACCUCGCGCUAUUGGAGCGGCCGAUGUCGGAUUAGCUAGUUGGUGAGGUAAAGGCUCACCAAGGCUACGAUCCGUAGCUGGUCUGAGAGGACGACCAGCCACACUGGGACUGAGACACGGCCCAGACUCCUACGGGAGGCAGCAGUGGGGAAUUUUGGACAAUGGGCGAAAGCCUGAUCCAGCCAUGCCGCGUGUGUGAAGAA
rnacentral:rRNA from 1 species